AAUCUCUAAGUUGUAGAGAGUGAAAAAAUAAGAGUUGUUGAAACAGUAAAAUAAUGUGUUAAUUUUUUUAGUGUUUUAUUUGUUAAUUCUCCAACAGCAAGUUCAUCGGUUUGACAUAUGUGAUGUGGAAAGGGAUGAUUUUCGUGAUUGUAACUGGUGGAUGUUCACAUUCUGCUCCAUGUGUGGAAAAGUAUUCUGAUAUUUUGCCUUUCCGUACUUGUUAUAAGUAUAAAUAAGAAUGAAUAAUAUUGUUACUUGUAUGUUUAUUCUUUUAUGAAAUAGAAACCCUACUUUUAAGUUUUGUAAAAUAUUUUUGUUGGAGCCUAUUUUUCAUUGAAUUUCUGUUUUUGCAAUGUUGUUACUAAUUUGUAAGAGACAUGUCUUCUGAAAAAAUUUCUAAGAUGGUUGAUUUUUAGAAUCAUUCUUCAAAGAAGAAUAAAAGCAAGUAAUAAA
rnacentral:lncRNA from 1 species